rnacentral:tRNA from 1 species
UUUUCUCUAGCUAAAAUAUGAUAUAGUGUUAGUUUGAAGAGCUGAAGUUACAAGUGAUGUGGGAAAAA